ACAUCCAGCGAACUUGGCAGAGAUGCCUUGGUGCCUUCGGGAACGCUGAGACAGGUGCUGCAUGGCUGUCGUCAGCUCGUGUUGUGAAAUGUUGGGUUAAGUCCCCGNAACGAGCGCAACCCUUUAUCCUUUGUUGCCAGCGAUUCGGUCGGGAACUCAAAGGAGACUGCCGGUGAUAAACCGGAGGAAGGUGGGGAUGACGUCAAGUCAUCAUGGCCCUUACGAGUAGGGCUACACACGUGCUACAAUGGCGCAUACAAAGAGAAGCGACCUCGCGAGAGCAAGCGGACCUCAUAAAGUGCGUCGUAGUCCGGAUCGGAGUCUGCAACUCGACUCCGUGAAGUCGGAAUCGCUAGUAAUCGUGGAUCAGAAUGCCACGGUGAAUACGUUCCCGGGCCUUGUACACACCGCCCGUCACACCAUGGGAGUGGGUUGCAAAAGAAGUAGGUAGCUUAACCUUCGGGAGGGCGCUUACCACUUUGUGAUUCAUGACUGGGGUGAAGUCGUAACAAGGUAAGCGUAGCGAG
rnacentral:rRNA from 1 species